CCUACGGGAGGCAGCAGUGAGGAAUAUUGGUCAAUGGGCGGAAGCCUGAACCAGCCAAGUAGCGUGCGGGAUGAAGGCCCUACGGGUCGUAAACCGCUUUUGCACGGGGAUAACACCCUCCACUUGUGGAGGUCUGCAGGUACCGUGCGAAUAAGGGCCGGCUAAUUCCGUGCCAGCAGCCGCGGUAAUACGGAAGGCCCGGGCGUUAGCCGGAUUCAUUGGGCUUAAAGGGAGCGUAGGCGGGCGUUCAAGUCAGCUGUAAAAGCGCGCGGCUCAACCGCGCCCCGCAGUUGAAACUGGACGCCUUGAGUUCACAACAGGCAGGCGGAAUUCGUGGUGUAGCGGUGAAAUGCAUAGAUAUCACGAGGAACCCCGAUUGCGAAGGCAGCCUGCCGGGGUGCGACUGACGCUGAGGCUCGAAGGUGCGGGUAUCAAACAGGAUUAGAUACCCCUGUAGUC
rnacentral:rRNA from 1 species